rnacentral:rRNA from 1 species
AGUCGAGCGGUAACAGGAAUUAGCUUGCUAAUUUGCUGACGAGCGGCGGACGGGUGAGUAACGCGUAGGAAUCUGCCUGGUAGUGGGGGACAACAUGUGGAAACGCAUGCUAAUACUGCAUACGCCCUACGGGGGAAAGGAGGGGAUCUUCGGACCUUUCGCUAUCAGAUGAGCCUGCGUGAGAUUAGCUAGUUGGUGGGGUAAAGGCUCACCAAGGCGACGAUCUCUAGCUGGUCUGAGAGGAUGAUCAGCCACACUGGGACUGAGACACGGCCCAGACUCCUACGGGAGGCAGCAGUGGGGAAUAUUGGACAAUGGGGGCAACCCUGAUCCAGCCAUGCCGCGUGUGUGAAGAAGGCCUUAGGGUUGUAAAGCACUUUCAGGAGUGAGGAAGGGUGUACGGUUAAUACCCGUAUAUUUUGACGUUAACUCCAGAAGAAGCACCGGCUAACUCUGUGCCAGCAGCCGCGGUAAUACAGAGGGUGCGAGCGUUAAUCGGAAUUACUGGGCGUAAAGC